UACAGAGGGGGCAAGCGUUGUUCGGAAUUACUGGGCGUAAAGGGCGCGUAGGCGGCCUGCUAAGUCGAACGUGAAAUCCCUGGGCUCAACCCAGGAACUGCGUCCGAUACUGGUUGGCUUGAAUCCGGGAGAGGGAUGUGGAAUUCCAGGUGUAGCGGUGAAAUGCGUAGAUAUCUGGAGGAACACCGGUGGCGAAGGCGACAUCCUGGACCAUGACUGACGCUGAGGAGCGAAAGCCAGGGGAGCAAACGGG
rnacentral:rRNA from 1 species